UACGGAGGGGGCUAGCGUUGUUCGGAAUUACUGGGCGUAAAGGGCGCGUAGGCGGCGUCGUAAGUCAGGCGUGAAAGGCCCGGGCUCAACCCGGGAACUGCGCUUGAUACUGCGGCGCUCGAGUCCGGGAGAGGAUGGCGGAAUUCCCAGUGUAGAGGUGAAAUUCGUAGAUAUUGGGAAGAACACCGGUGGCGAAGGAGGCCAUCGGGACCGGUAAUGACGAUAAUGCGCGAAAGCGUGGGGAGCAAACAGG
rnacentral:rRNA from 1 species